CAAAGACUUUCCAGAUUUCUAUUCUUCUCUUCAUUGACAGUGAGAUCCUAGCCAAUCUUCCACUAUGAAGUUGAUCCUUCUGCUCUUUGCCAUUGCCUUCAUGGUCUUUCAUGUCCAAGCCAACCCAGUGAUUGAGGUCUUCAAAGAUGUCAUUGAGCCUAAAUUGGUAGAUGAGGAAGGAACCACCCUGGCCACAUACACCUGCAACAACAAGAAGGGUAUCUGUCAGCGCAGAGACUGGGCCUGUCCCUCAGGCUACAUAUUUGUGGAAUCUCUCAACGAUUGUCCAAAUAAGAAAAUGAACAAGUGCUGCACCUGUUCAUAACUUCUGAGAUAUAUGGUCCUCAGCCAGAGAAAGAAUGAUUUAUUGGAUUCAUAUAAAUAAAAAAAACCUAUUUUAAUUCAGCAAAU
rnacentral:lncRNA from 11 species